rnacentral:lncRNA from 1 species
CUGGAAACCGCCCUGGUGCCCAGCAGCAGGGGAGCAGACGAGACCUCAGCAGAAAUCAGGCUCAUGAGGAGCACAGGCUGGGUGUGGGGGUCUGGCCUCCUCACCCUGUGUUGCCACACCCCAGCCUGGCACCGCCCUCCCCAGCCCACACUGGUACACAGACCAAUCCACAUGGGGACCUGGCUGACAAGCUCCUGUCUGAUCCUCAUCAUCAGGCAGGUACACAAGGAUGUGUUAGUCAUGGCAUCUGUCAAAGGGACCUAGUACCAGGGCUGGCACCUGGGGUGCUGGGGGCAUCGGUGGGAUGGUGGACGGGGGCUUGGCCUGGUGCCUGGCAAGGCGAGGCCCUUAUGGACUGGGUGCCUUCUCUCUUCUCCCUCCCCCACCCCUGGGCUACAAGGCUGCUUUAAGGACACCAGAUGCCCAAUGUCCAGGAGGCUCCGGAAGGCUGCUCUGCAUCCGUGCUGGCCCAGGCCCUGGGAGGAGCCCCAUGAAGAGGAGGCACCUGAAGGAAGCAGCUAAGCUGAGUUCCAGAGAAGCUUCUGGAAAGAGGGAAAGGCUAGGCCAAGACAUGGCUGGAGCCCUGGGGUUUUGGCUGAGUGGGUGAGGCCAAGGAAAAUGGGGGCUUGUACGUGCUGGGCUGGAGGUGAAGGCUUGGAAAAUACCAGGCCACAGGAGGGAUUUCAAAGCCCCAUCCCACGCCCUCCCCUGGCAGCCAUCAGAGAAGAUGGAAACGCAGAGCCCAGAAAGGAGCUGGGCCUUCAAUUCCUCCAGUGGGUCCCUUCCUAAUUCAGCAUCUCCGCGAGUUCACUGGAGGAGGUGGACCAGGGGGUCCUUCUCAGCCCUAGAUGGAACUUCCACAUGUCCACCGGGCAGAGCAUCCUCUUCUCUCUCAGUUUCCCAGGAUAAAGCGUGGGGGUUCCCAGGGUGCCACAUCUUCAUGUAGCCCCACAGGUGCCCGCCCUUCGUCUUCAGCAGCUAGUGGGACCCCCUCCACUGGGCACCCUAACCUGAUUGGAGAAGAUGGGACUAAACAUAUGGAAGAGAAACUGAAAUGAAGGGUUGGCAGCCCCCGCCAGCUGAGAGCCUCUGAAGAGGCAGACCUCAGCUCUGACAUGCCAGCUGUGGCCUUGCUCAUGGGUGGACCCUCUAUCCACCUUCACAGAAUGUGCACCUGCCACCAGAGGGACCAUACAGGCCUGAGUCCCAACCUCAGAAGGUAAAACGGGCACCAUUCUUGCCCACUGGUUACAGGCCCAUGGGGGGAUGGGUGCAGGAGACAGCUUUGGUACCUGGAAUUCACCAAGGAAUGAGGGGCUGACCUGAUGGGGUCACCCUCCAGCAGGGAGUCCUGGGGCCUGGGGGUAUCAGGGAAUAUUCCUGGUCCUUCUCACUUGUUUCACAUGCCACUCUGAAGAGCUAGGUUUUAUUAUUGUUUAAAUAAAUUAUAUUUUUAUGGUAAACAAAAU